rfam:Lachnoclostridium sp. An169 An169_contig_1, whole genome shotgun sequence.
CAGCGGAACUCAGGAGAGUCUCUUUCUGUUUCGACUUCAGGAUUCCUGAAACAGAAAGAGCGCCGAAGGUGUAAGCAGACGGCUGUCCAUAUCCUUAUACAGCCGCUGCGAGUCUCUCAGGCAAAAGGAUGGAGGUAUAAAG